rnacentral:rRNA from 1 species
AUUGAACGCUGGCGGCAUGCCUAACACAUGCAAGUCGAGCGGAUGAAGGGAGCUUGCUCCUGGAUUCAGCGUCGGACGGGUGAGUAAUGCCUAUGAAUCUGCCUGGUAGUGGGGGAUAACGUCCGGAGACGGGCGCUAAUACCGCAUACGUCCUGAGGGAGAAAGUGGGGGAUCUUCUGACCUCACGCUAUCAGAUGAGCCUAGGUCGGAUUAGCUAGUUGGUGGGGUAAAGGCCUACCAAGGCGACGAUCCGUAACUGGUCUGAGAGGAUGAUCAGUCACACUGGAACUGAGACACGGUCCAGACUCCUACGGGAGGCAGCAGUGGGGAAUAUUGGACAAUGGGCGAAAGCCUGAUCCAGCCAUGCCGCGUGUGUGAAGAAGGUCUUCGGAUUGUAAAGCACUUUAAGUUGGGAGGAAGGGCAGUAAGUUAAUACCUUGCUGUUUUGACGUUACCAAAAGAAUAAGCACCGGCUAACUUCGUG